rfam:Apaloderma vittatum contig24300, whole genome shotgun sequence.
AUUUCCGUAGUGUAGUGGUUAUCACGUUUGCCUGACACGCGAAAGGUCCCCGGUUCGAAACCGGGUGGAAACA